rnacentral:rRNA from 1 species
GACGAACGCUGGCAGCGUGCUUAACACAUGCAAGUCGAACGGGAGUAUUGAAGAAGCUUGCUUUAGAGAUACUUUAGUGGCGGACGGGUGAGUAACGCGUGAGGAGCUGUCCAAUGCAGGGGGACAACAGUUGGAAACGACUGCUAAUACCCCAUAAGCCGAGAGGUAAAAGGAUUUAUCCGGCAGAGGAGGUACUCGCGUCCUAUCAGCUAGUAGGUGAGGUAACGGCUCACCUAGGCGAAGACGGGUAGCCGGCCUGAGAGGGCGAACGGCCACACUGGAACUGAGAUACGGUCCAGACUCCUACGGGAGGCAGCAGUGGGGAAUAUUGGGCAAUGGGGGGAACCCGUGACCCAGCGACGCCGCGUGGGUGAAGAAAUCCUUCGGGAUGUAAAGCCCUGUUGUAUGGGAAGAGCGGAAGACGGUACCAUACGAGGAAGCCCCGGCGAAACUAACGUGCCAGCAGCCGCGGUAAU